CGAAGACUGGGAGCAACCGGAAGAUUGUGCGACGCUGUGAUCAGAAAACUUGCACGAAGAAGUAUUAAUAAACAGUUGUACAAACUUACCAAGAUUAUUCGCGUUUAAAGCUUCCAUGGUAGUCGAGUCUGAUUCUGCUUGCACGGUAGUUGUCGCUGUUGUGACUAAUGGCGCAUCAUUGGCCUCGCUCGAAUCUGCCAUAUGUUCAUUGUCCGCCAUUAUGUGUGAACUAAACUUUAAGAUUUUGAUAUGAACGUAGUAGUUUUAUAAAAUUUUCUUAAAAGAUUACACAAUAUUGCAAAAUAUAGCGUUCGCAGAGAAGAAAUUCUCAAUGAAAAUACGUUUCAUGAAGGAAGGCUUUGGACGAAGCGUAUGCCAACGAUCAUUGCAUCACGUGGCACGAGUCAGUUCAUUGGUCGAAAGACAAUAGAUAUUUACAUAUUUUAGAGGCUUUGUGAACGGCAAUAAUAGAACUUAUUCAAAGUAAAAAAAUAUUCAUGAAUAUUAGCUUUCUAAACCGUAUAGGGUGGAACAGGGUCAUACUGCCUAUAAGGAGCACAUUUUUUACUCUAAAAAUCGUCAUCGGAGGCCGUGCUUACAGCCUUUCACUACUUUGCAUCGCGCAGGCGCAACGCUCCGGGGUGGGCACUUAAAACAAAAACUUAAAGAACUUAAAACAAAAAAGUGCACCUGUAUGAUGAUCUACAUGAUAGAGAUUGAAGAUGGAUGACUGCAUAGGAAUGAUCGAAUGAACCAUCAAUUAACAUCAUGGAAUGAACGGACGAAUCUAGCCGAAAAAACAAAUGAGAAUAGGGCAUAGUGAAUUGACAAAUUGUCAAAUAGAAUUUGGAUGAUCAAACCGAACUUCGUCUUCGUUUUUCAAAUUCCAAUUUUUAUUCUAACGAAAAUAUGAAAUGGAAUCCGAAUACAGGAAACAAGAAAAUCGAACCUACAACUGCCAUCUUUACAGCAAUAGCCAAUAGGCCUUGGGCUUAGCGUUUUUCCACCGACAUAAUUAUCUGUGCAACCACGUUACAACUCACAGGACGAAGAAAUGUCAACCACUGGCACAACGAAUUUGUAGUCCCAAAUUUGUGAGGUUAACCGAUACAAGGCUGAGAGUCUGCGACAGACAGGUUAAUAGGCUCAAUGGCUAUGCUGCCAUUUGUCUCACGAAUACAAGUACAGCAGUUGCAACUUAACAACUUGAAAAUCACUGACAGCCAUAGGCAUAGUUAUUGGAUUUAAAAAUGUUAAAUUAAACUUAAAAGCCUUGGUCAAAC